rnacentral:rRNA from 1 species
AUUGAACGCUGGCGGCAGGCCUAACACAUGCAAGUCGAGCGGAUGAGAGGAGCUUGCUCCUCGAUUCAGCGGCGGACGGGUGAGUAAUGCCUAGGAAUCUGCCUAGUAGUGGGGGACAACGUUUCGAAAGGAACGCUAAUACCGCAUACGUCCUACGGGAGAAAGUGGGGGAUCUUCGGACCUCGCGCUAAUAGAUGAGCCUAGGUCGGAUUAGCUAGUUGGUGAGGUAACGGCUCACCAAGGCGACGAUCCGUAGCUGGUCUGAGAGGAUGAUCAGCCACACUGGAACUGAGAAACGGUCCAGACUCCUACGGGAGGCAGCAGUGGGGAAUAUUGGACAAUGGGCGAAAGCCUGAUCCAGCCAUGCCGCGUGUGUGAAGAAGGUCUUCGGAUUGUAAAGCACUUUAAGUUGGGAGGAAGAGUUGUAAGCUAAUAUCUUGCAGCUUUGACGUUACCAACAGAAUAAGCACCGGCUAACUCUGUGCCAGCAGCAGCCGCCGUAA